AGUGCGAAAGCGUGGGAGCAAACGGAUUAGAUACCCCGGUAGUGCACGCCGUAAACGAUGUCUACUAGCCGUUGGAGGACUUGAUCCUUUAGUGGCGCAGCUAACGCGAUAAGUAGACCGCCUGGGGAGUACGGUCGCAAGAUUAAAACUCAAAUGAAUUGACGGGGGCCCGCACAAGCGGUGGAGCAUGUGGUUUAAUUCGAAGCAACGCGAAGAACCUUACCUACUCUUGACAUCCAGUGAACUUUUGAGAGAUCAAUUGGUGCCUUCGGGAGCACUGAGACAGGUGCUGCAUGGCUGUCGUCAGCUCGUGUUGUGAAAUGUUGGGUUAAGUCCCGUAACGAGCGCAACCCUUGUCCUUAGUUACCAUCAUUAAGUUGGGGACUCUAAGGAGACUGCCGGUGACAAACCGGAGGAAGGCGGGGACGACGUCAAGUCAUCAUGGCUCUUACGAGUAGGGCUACACACGUGCUACAAUGGCAUGUACAAAGGGUUGCCAAGCCGCGAGGUGGAGCUAAUCCCAUAAAGCAUGUCGUAGUCCGGAUUGGAGUCUGCAACUCGACUCCAUGAAGUCGGAAUCGCUAGUAAUCGUGAAUCAGAAUGUCACGGUGAAUACGUUCCCGGGCCUUGUACACACCGCCCGUCACACCAUGGGAGUGGGUUGCUCCAGAAGUAGAUAGCUUAACCUUCGGGAGGGCGUUUACCACGGAGUGAUUCAUGACUGGGGUGAAGUCGUAACAAGGUAACCGUA
rnacentral:rRNA from 1 species